rnacentral:tRNA from 1 species
GCCGCUGUAGCUCAGUUGGUAGAGCAAAGGACUGAAAAUCCUUGUGUCAUGGGUUCGAUUCCCAUUGGCGGCA